UGCCGUAGCAAUCUCAGCCAUGAGGUGGGAGAAUGGCUUGAGAGUAUCCGGAUCGAUUCCCAUUCCUGCAAGCUUCUUUUUCAGCUUGGUGUUCCAGUAGUUCUUGACCUCAUUUCCGUGCGACCCGGCAACUGAGCUGCAAUUAUCGACCACCCGUAGCAAAACCCAACUGGGAUUUUAAUUCAUGGGAGGUAAUAAACAACCACUUGGUACUCAUGGAAGAACAGAACGGCGGUCAUGUAGAGGAGUUGAGAACAAGCUUCUGCAGAAGAAUAUGACGCGGAAGAAUGGAUUGAUUGAUUGAUUGAUUUACCGGUAACCAAGGACAGCAUGGAGCCUCAUGAUGGUUUGCUCCUCUGAUUCUGAAGUCUGGUCGGAGGUAGGUAGUCCAUCGCAGCCUACAGCUUUUUCCACAUCUAUGCCGGUCUACACAUUGAUUAUUGAUAGAUGAAGGAGUCGAUAGUGUUGGAUGAAAAAAGCCAAGGAAGAUGAUUUCUCUACUUGCACUCUUUUCAAGGAAAUUUUUCCCUCUUCUUUGUGUGCUUCUUGGAAAGGAAAUCAAGCAGGACAGUUAUCUAGCCAAUUUUCUAUCAGGUAUGUGAAUGUGAAGAUAUGGUGUGUGUUUUUAAAUAAAGGGAGGUGUGUCUUCUUAUAUUAAGGGUUUGCCUUGCAUGUGGCUCUGUUCAAUAUAGCCCGAGUUACCAUCGAAGGCCCAUGAUUUAAUUAAAGAAUUCAAUGCCAUGUUGUGUGUGAGAGAAGGGCAGGUAGCUCACCCACAAGAUGUUUGGUUCAAACCUCUCUCUCUCUCUCUCUCUGCGUGUGUAUGUAGUUGACUGUAUCGGGUUUCUGCUAGAGCUGGUGUGUUAACAGUUAAGGUCACACAUAAUUGCCUCAUGGAAGAGCUUGUCUUUUACAAAAGUUGAGGCUGUUGCGCGUGGGUCUUUCUGGCACUCAUUCUACCACUCCUAGUGCUAACGCAUUAGACACCUAAUCAUUUUGUAAAUGCAAGAAUUGCUGGUGCUUGCUGCUUCUUAGCAAUUACUUUGACAUGAACAAUUUGGUCCCAGUUGUCUUUUGAUAUCUUAUGUCCAGGACUAUUAUCAGCCCUCUCUUUUAUGAAGUCUCUUGACAUGAGAGUGUAAGAAUCUUGUUGACCGAGAAGAUGAAGUGCAAAAUAUAAUUCUCAGGCUUCCGUUUGUCACUAAUGUAGUUCUUCGUCGAUCUGCAUAUCUAUUUUCUAUAUAUAUAUAUAUAUUUUAAGGACGCAUUCACAAACUAGAAAGGUGACUGAUUGGCCACACCAUGUUUGGUGCAUGCUAUUGAGUAUUGACACAACAGAGGGUGCAUGUAUAUUUUUUACUUUUUAGCUGUUAAAAAUUGGAGAGAAGCUCCUGUCUUACCUAAACUCAAGCAACCACCACCUUCAAGUGAGACUAAUGAUUCUGUACUUGAGAUCUGAAGGAAGAGUUGAGAUUCUAAGAUGCAAGGAUUAUCUGCAUGAAAUUUGUCCAAACUCAGACUCAACUUAUUUUGGACCUGGUUAAUCGCAACCAUUGAUAGUAUUAAAUGCAGGGGUGGGAUUAUAUCUAUUCAUAGGCCACUUAAGGCCUACUUUCUGCUCAUUUUGUGUUUUUUUCAUUCUGUGUCACUCGAAUCCCUGAAUAAGUGUGCAGCAUGAAUAUUUUGUACAUCAGCAAUUGAAGAACUUAGGUGCUCCCUUUUUCACCUUAACAAACAAGAAUUCUUUCAUCUGAAUUACCCUUUUGUGUUUUACCAUAAGGAAGGAAAAUUACAGUUUCUUAUCUUAGUUUGGCUCUGAUAAGUGCCUCAAAUGAGCCAAUGAAGCAUAAAACUGUCGCAAGAAAGCAGACAAUGCUAAAUAUCUUAAGGAUGACCCAUUUUCUUGUCCAAGCACCGAUUUUCUUUUGCACAAGGUACAUCUCCACGGGAAAUAUAUCGCCAAGGGCCAAAAGUUCAACGCGCCCAACACUCCUAGAACCGAGUUGAAAUAUGGAAAGAUUAAGGCGAUUCCAGUUGUGGAUAUGACAAAUACUGUGCGGAAGCACAGCCUGAAAAGAUUCAUCCGAAUAGCCGGCACCAAGGGAAGCCUGAAUGUGUAGAAUUUGUUCACAAAUCUGCUAUUUGGGUAUGUGCUGCUGGACCAUCUCUCUGCUGCUGCAUAUAUGGGCUGACUGAACAUCUGUUCGAAGAGACUCAGCAUAAAUGAUGUGACCAUGUUUUCAAAGGCUUAAUCAAAUCAAGAAACUCUUACUGCUAUCUCUGUAAAUUUUUUGCGUGAAAAAGUGCGUAUGACUGUUGUGAUUAUUUCGAUUUGAUUCUUCUCCAGUUUUUUCAGGGUUUCGAGACUCUAAAAUUGACAGUUGUCAGAGUGCAUAACCAAUUGAAGAUUGAAAACAAGUUUAAUAUUGAGAUAAAAACUGAAGGCAGGUAUCGUUCAGUUCCUUUUUUCGAGAAGUCGGGUAUUGGUCAUACAUAUACCUGGUAUCCUCCAACCAAAUGGACAAUGAUGCACACGUUCGCAAAGUCGACCAGCCAGAAGGGCUCAAAGAAUCCCUCCCCGUUCACUAUCCCAGUCAGGAGAUUCCCAGGCGUUUCGUCACCAAAGGCUGCAUAUCCAAAGCAUCCGCAGCAGAAGUAAAAGAAGGUGGUUAUGAAGACUGCGACCAUGGAGGCCCUUUUCAUCGUCUGGUUUUCUGGUGGAGGGGACUUCAAAGUGUCCUGAAUGUGACAGAAACUCAAAGAUUCGGUAAGCCUCUAGGCCUUGCGGAUUGUUCUGAAAUAGAAACUGACUCAGUUCAAAUAAUAAAGCCAAGGUCUCACCUGUAUCUCAAGAAGAAUGAGUGAAUAUGGAUACGAAAAAGCAAUAUCUCCAAGCGCCUCAAAGGUAUUCCAUAACUUUUUCUCAACUUUAGCAGCCGGAACUCCUGCAAUCCCUCCCGCGAUUCUUCCAUUUUCUGGAGAUCACAAGAAAUCGAGAGAGUCGUCACAGAACUCCUAGGAGCUCUAUAGGAUACUAAGUACGAAGUUGUUCCUCCAUUUAUCUGACAGCAAAAGGGACCGAUUCAAUUUUAUUAUGUUCCCUUCAAAGGGUCAAGCAUUCUCUCAAGUCUGGACAGAUGACAGCAAACACACCAACCUAUGACUUUUGCAAAGCUGAGUCCUAGUCCAAUGGAAGAAUAAGAGAAGGACAUGAUCGCGGCAACAACUGAAAGCCAUUCCAUAUUGUGCAUGUCUGGUAUCAGCGACAUUACGAUCUGUAUAAUCCCGAAUAGCACCAUGUAGAAGCUACUACCAUAGUGACACCGAGCAUUGCGCCCUUCUCUGUGAUAGCAAUUCGAUUCCCAAUAGCCCUGCAUCCACAAAUGGAUGCAAAUUUUCCAGGUUGCAGUAGUUAUAACGUAGGCUAUGUCUGUGCCAUACAAGCUCAGAUACUGAAGCAAACCACAUACCCACGUUCUUUUCGUACCUGAAAUGGACAACUGAACAUAGUAGGAUCGACACACCGAGGACCACCAUCUAAAGUAAAUUCUCUCACGCGAAAUCAGACAACCAUUCGGAUAAUAAAUCAGGAGACCGGUAACAAUCUGACAGAAGGAAAGCGGAGAUGUAGGUGAUUAUCGCGAAACAAAGCAAGGACACUGGCCCCCCUAUCCACCCCAGCUGUGCCGUACUCCAAGCUAGAGACAGAACUCCGGCUCCAAUGACC